rnacentral:tRNA from 1 species
GGAGGAUUCGCCUAGUGGCCUAGGGCGCACGCUUGGAAAGCGUGUUGGGGGCAACCCCUCAUGGGUUCGAAUCCCAUAUCCUCCGCCC